CGGACGGGUGAGUAAUGUCUGGGAAACUGCCCGAUGGAGGGGGAUAACUACUGGAAACGGUAGCUAAUACCGCAUAAUGUCUGCGGACCAAAGCGGGGGACCUUCGGGCCUCUUGCCAUCGGAUGUGCCCAGAUGGGAUUAGCUAGUAGGUGGGGUAACGGCUCACCUAGGCGACGAUCCCUAGCUGGUCUGAGAGGAUGACCAGCCACACUGGAACUGAGACACGGUCCAG
rnacentral:rRNA from 1 species